AAUCUAAUGCGACCCUAGUGGAACAGCGUACGGAACAUUUCCAGCGUUUACUUACAACCUUUGUGAGCUUCUCGGAUGAAACCUGCGCCUCUUCUAGGAAUUAAUUCUCUCUGAAACUCAACUUUUUACGCCGAGCUCCUCUGCUUCUUAUUGUUCGUUGUUUUAAAGUAGCCUAUUGAAGUUGGCAUUUGUUUGAGUGAGACUAUAAGCAAAUAAAAAGAGGCCCAUGAUGACUGCUGGGAGAUGACAUGACAUCGCUAAUGAGGAAAGGCCCAUCACAAGACCACACGCACAAAUGUUUGAUGGCGUUGCUGUGCUGAUGACUAACUUUGUUUAUGGCAUUUGUUACAGGGAACACACAGCAAACAUCAGACAUACAUGAACCAUCAAACAAGUGGACAACAGUACCUACAUCUACUUUCUUUCCUAAUCCUCAGCACACCGGCUAGAAGACUAACGAAUGGAGAGGCAGCUGGGAAUAAAGUCGUAUGCCAUUGACCCCAUCCAUCCAGAGACGCCCCCCGCCACACACACACACCCACCAUGGCAGAGGGCAGAUGACAGACUAGCCACCGUCAGAUCUACCAUCAGCUAAAAGUGUCGAUCCUCAACGUCAGAAAUCCUCUGGGACAGUGAGAGAGAUGGAAUUAGAGCGAUUCUGCAUUGAUAAACCUGUAAAACAGAAGUGACAUGUUUAAAUAUAUAUAUAUAUACACACACACACACACAGUGUUGGGGAAAGUUACUUUUAGUAAUCCAGUGUUGGGGAAAAACACAUUACAAGUAACUUGAGUUACUUGUACAAUUUACAACAAAAUAUCCAAGUUACUUUUUCAAAUAAGUAACGCAAGUUACUUUUUCACAUUUAUUGACUGACAGCUCUCCUGUCCCCGUGUUGAGAGAAAUAAAGUACAGAGGUGUUGUGCGCAAUGUGUAAACAUGACGGUCAUUGUAGAUCUAGACUAAAUGUGAACAUGCGUUUACUCAUCUCACUUGCACAAAAACCUUCAGUAUUCCUCAAAAUGAAUAAAAACAGUGAAAUGCAAUCUCAGAAUUUUAUGCAAACCUGUAAUAACUAUAUUAAAUUACACAAAUAUACUUUAUGUAUUUAAUCUCACUUUUUAUUAACCAACGUCUUUCCUGCUGACCUUCAAUGAUCUAAUUCAACCAUACUAAUAAGCAAAAAUUACUUUAUAUUAGAUUUAGAAAUAAGAGUGUUGAACUUCCUAGUGUGUAUCCUAUUCUUCUUCAGUCCAGAAUGGCAGCACAGCUGAAAGGUUUGUUUAAGCUGCGCCCUCUAUUGUACAGGUGUAAAUAUGCAUUUCCUUCCGCCUGAGGCUUAUUCAUUUCACUUUUGGUGUGAAAGGGCCUUAAAUUUUACCAAAAAAAUAGAACUUUUUUUUGUUGUUAUUAACAAAUAUUGCGUUACUCUCUAAAAAAGUAACUAAUUACAUUACUUAGUUACUUUUUAUGGAAAGUAAUGCAUUAUAUUACUUUUGCAUUACGUUUCACCUGGGCUGGGCUUGCUUGUUUGUUUUUUAAUUACAAUUAAAAAGUUCUAUUUUUGGCAAAUGUAAAGGCCCUUUCACACCAAAAGUGAAAUGAAUAAGCUUCAGGCUGAUCACAGAUGUGAUGUUUAUCUAAAGUCAUUUUUGCUUAUUAGUAUGGUUGAAUUGGAUCAAAGACAUUGGUUAAUAAAGUGAGAUUAAAUAAAGUAUAUUUGUUUAAUUUAAUAUAUUUUAUUAUUGCAGGUUUGUGCAAUAUUCUGAGAUUGCAUUUCAUUGUUUUUAUUCAUUUAGAGGAAUACUGCAAUUGAGAUGAGUAAAUUUAUUCUAGAACUACAAUAACCAUCAACUUUACACACAACGCCUCUGCACUUACUCCCGUUUUCCCUCAAUACGGGGACAGAAGAGCUGUCAGUCUAUACAUGGGAAAACAAAGUAACUUGCAAAAGGAACUACUUAUUGAAAAAGUAAAAUAUAAGUAAUAUUUUGUUGUAAAUGUAAAAGUAAUGCGUUACUCUGAAAAAAGUAAUCUGAUUACUCGUAAUGCGUAUAUGUGUGUGUGUUUAGAUGUUGAUGAAGGGAUACUUCAACCUUACAGAUUGGUCUAUCUGAAAUAGAAAAGCUGCUCAAGGGAAAGACAGCAUCCUUCCUUUCCAUUCGUUCCUUUAAAGAAAUUACAUAUUUUGCAGGUACACAAAGAGCAGGGUUAAUACACAGAGACGCCCAAUUAGAGCCCCCUCAUUUAGUAGACGUCUGAACAAAAACUUUAUGACAGGCAGUUGGGGACUGUCAUUAAAUUAGAUGUUGUGAGAAUGAUAGCACACUUUCUUUGCUUAAUGAGAAUGGAGUUUCUCCCCAGACUGGAAUUUUCUGAGUUCAAUGCCGUCGGAAUGCUUCACAAAGCGAAACUAUGGCUCUCUUUGUUGAGUUCACAUUAUAGAUGAGAUCAGAGAGUAAACAGAGACCAAAUGUGCUCUAAUAAAACUACAGAUCUUCUAGCCGGCUCAUUUCCAUAAAACAGUUCCUGCGCAAAUCAGGUAUGACCUUCAGAGACAUAAUUAAAGCAAAUAUUUUUAGUCCCUGAUUGGAAUGUUGCAUGUCAAUACAAAUUGUGAAGGAACCUCAUAACGGAAUGCAGAUUUUAUUGUUUACGGGAUGCAUGGAAUCUGAAAUGAUAAAAGUUUGCAUAGCUGCAUCUGAAUAAAGUUACUAUAUAUUGUUACUAUUGUGAAUACUCACAAUAAAAUACUACUCUCAAAGUGAA